GGCUUGGUGACGCCCCGGUCGUGACGUGAGUGGGGCGCGGUCUGGCUCUUGCCCGCGGGUGGUUCACGCCCUCGCCGCAGGGGUGGUUGUCGCCGCCCCGGAGCCCGCGCUCCACGAGGGGCCCAGGAGACACGGCGGCUCAUGCCGUUCUCACCCGAGAGCAGUGGCCUGGCGGGGGCGCCUCCCGGGGGGACGGGGCAAGGGGCAGGGGACAGCCCCCGGCGGGGUCGUGCUGCUCCGUGGUGCGGAGCCAUCCUGAGAAACGCCGGCCUCUCCCUGUCCCUCCUCCCGACCCUGUCAGCCCCCCAGCCACGGCCCGCGGGACAGGGACCACCCGGGGUGGAGGCGUCACAGCCUGCCCCCGCUCUCUCUGUCCCGCCGGGUGACCCUAGGAGCAGCACCCCGGGGUGAGCCGUAGCAACUGUGGCACGUCAGGACGGCGUUGUUUCCUGGGUGCAGGCUACGAGUCUCGAGGGAGCCGAGACCUGGCUGCGCCUUGCUCUGCACAUGUGUAUCGUCUCUGGCGCGACUUUCCGAAACUCUCUGUGGCAAGUUAGGCAAGCUGAGAGAAAAGAGAAUGCUCUGGACAGAGCGUGUGGUAUCUUCUUAAAAAAUGAAGAUCAUUUUCUUGGAACACUGGCAGCUGCUGCUGUGGAGAAAAGAGAAAUGUCUUAUAAUACAGAAGAAUAAAUCAACGGUCUCAAAAGGUCAUUUAGUCCUACCUUCCUCAAGAGACAAGGCCCUCCUGUGGACAGGAUUUGAUUCUGUACAGGGAAAUGCAUUUGGAUUUCCAGUCCAGUCGUGUAACCACUCAGGCAUUGCAGGUACUCAAAAUGUAGGUGUGUGUUAAGGUGGGGUACUGAUAUCCAACGUGGCUGGAUCUUCUACUGUGACUCAGCUCUGUACAAUUUAGUGCUUGAAGACAAGAAACUCUCUCUCUACUGGAAUGCUGCAUGUAAAGUGUUAGACAGAGCAGCAAUGAUGGUCUCUGGGUAGGUCAAUGAAUGGAGAUUCAGGAGGCCUAGUGUCAGUCCCGGGCUUGGCCACAGAUUUGCUUUGUGACCAUAGGUACAGCACCUAAUUUACCCAUGGUGUCACUUCCCCAUACAUACCUAUAUCAAUUCCUGCUUCCACUGGUAAGAAGGGAUCUUUCACUUCACCAUCUUCUGAGGCUGAUUCCACCUGGACCAUGGGAAGAGUAAAAAGAGUCAGGUUGGAUUCUGUUUGAUCUGUGCUCCUCAGGAUUACACAGCCACAGAAUGAGGGGCAGGCAGCAGUGGUGGGGCUCUCUUCCCAGCCACAGUUCCUGGUGAUGCCAUGAAUGACCAAGUGAAGUGUGGGUCAGUGGAUGGACUGAGGCCCCCUUCUGUCCUACAUUCUGAAGUCGGGCAUGCCACAGUCUUUCGUACAGAAGCCUCAGCUCAGCCCCUUCCCCACCUCCGCUACUUUUCCUCCUCAUAAUGUCUCCACAGUUUCUCUAUGCUUCCCCCUCCCUUGGGCUGUGUGAGUAUCUUUCCUGCCCAAUUCUGCACUUCCUAACACAUGCAAACUCCUCAUAGAGCUAGAGAAAGUACAAAGAAAGGCAAUCUAAAGGAUGCAAGGAAGGAAAGGAGAGGAAGCACUAAGUCUCAAAUGUACAAAGGGCUUCAUAGAUUAGAAGGGCAGAGAGAGACCAGAGCGAUCAGUUAGUUUGAUCCGCAGUGAAACAGCCUGCAAAACUUCAGCAAGUGCUAUCAGAAUCAACCCAAAUAAUUCCUGGUGAUGCUCCAGCCUGUCUUUUAGAAAUGAAGUCAUUUCAGACGAGGGACAAUUUAUCACACCCCUGGGUAAGUUGUUCCUGUAGUUAAUAACUUGUUGCAUAACAAGAAAAUAGUGUGCACCUUGUUCCUAAAACAAACCUGUCCAGUUACAUCUUCCAGCCACUGCAUUCUCUUCUGCCUCUGUCUGGAAGACUUAAGAGCCUUUACCAAUUAGAAACUUUCCCUAAAUAGAGAUGCUUUUAGCCCAUGAUCAAAUUGCUGAUAAACCUCUUUUUUAAGUUGAAUAAGUAGAACUUUAUUAGUCUCUCACACUGAGAGAGGUUUUCUAGACCUACAUACCUUCUUGUAACUUUUGUGAACCCUUUUUAGUGUAUCAACAUUCAGUUAAGCAUGAACAUGAGAACUGGAUGCAGCAUCCAAUAAGGAGUUAAUUAAUACCAUAGACAGUGGUAAUAAUGCCUUCAUACUUGUGAUCUACGUUCCCUUUCAAUACAUCCAAAGAUUUCAAUACCCUUCUUAAGUAACAAUUCCUAAGGUAAUGUAUUACUUUAUGUGAUGUCCAUGAUUUUAUGCACAUGCUUAAGUCUGCAAGAUGUGGGCCUAGGAAGGCUAUAUGCAUCACAGGUAACAACUAGGGUGUUCUCUGGGUAUAACUAGGGCAUUAUAGACAUUUUGUGGAAGACAGUGGGGUGGGGGGUGCUUAAAUUAGCACGGCUCUGAAAGCAUCAGUGUAACAGUGUCCAGAACAUCGUGCAUGGGCGCCAUUUUUCAGUGCAGGGACCUUGAUACAUGUGACACUGGAAUCUGCUGGAGUGCAGUAAUUAACAGACUCCAGCAGAUUCAAUGAAUCGAGUCUGCUCCAAGACACUGUAAUUACAGCACAUUGGAGUGGCCUCCCUUCAUGUAUAUAGAUUCCACUAGUUUUUAAGACAUAAUACAUAUGAUAGACUGGAGUAAAGAAAGAAUAAUUAGGGUAGAGGUUAGAAAAAAGCACUCAGUCCUACUCCAAUUGAAGCCAGUGGAAAAAUACCCCUUGACUUCAGGGAUAGUAAGAUUGGAGCCAGAGAUCUCAACAGCUAGAGCAACUGGGCUGGGGAAUGGAUUCCACUGCACACCUAAAGGCAAGAUCUGUGUAGAGGUUACAGAGCAGAAGUUAGAACUGAAUGAAAUAGUGAAGAGCCUGCAAAAUGCAAGGACUCAGCUGGGGGAGCCAAGAGACUUUUGGUAAUCCCAGGAAGUUGGGCCACAAAGGGUUUUACAAGAUAUUGACCUCAGACAUGUCAAAAGAAUCUUCUGUAUCCCACGCCUGGUGUAUGGCAGCACGAAUCUCUGUAAACAAAAACACAUCCAGUCAGUUCAACUGGGACUGGUUUCUAGUUUUACGUCUAAUGUUUUUAGAUGUUGUUUUAGCAUCGCUGCAGAACAGUGUCCUGCAAGCUUGUGUUCCAACGGGCCUGUCUAGGCUGCACUGUACCCCAGCAGGGAGUGCUGCAGUGAGAUGCACCAUGCCUGCUUCUGUGAAUGCCACCUUCCCAAACUGAUGCAAUGUAACCACCCACUAGUGUGGUACUGGCUGCAUCCAGGUCUAACUCUUGGGUGAGCCUACUCUUUCUCUCUUUAUACUGUCUUAUAGCUGGGUAUAUGAUGUUGGUUACCUCGUUCACAGACCACAUCAUUAUAUCUGUCAUUUUAUCAUUCAUUUCCUUGGCCUUGUUUCUCUGUAGCAGGAACAAAUGAGAGGGGACAAUAAAUGUGUUUAUUAAUUCCUCUAUUCUCCCUUCUUUACAUAGCAACAGCUGUCUACUGGGUAUGAAUCAAACAUUUAGCAUGAACAAUAACAGUCACCCAUGAAAAACACUCUGUGUAUGACCAGAGCCUUCUGGACAGGGUGGGAUAUAAAUCAAAUUAAAUAUAAAGAUAUAAAUAAAUAGCCAGUUCAGGAAAGGUCACUGAAUGACAAGUUAGGAUAAGCACUGUAUCCCCCUGAACACAUUUCUGAAGGGCCAAUGUGCAGUCUGGCCUCCUUUAGCUUUGAAGACCAUGGGAGAAAAUUCUGACUACCUUGAAGGCCAAGGGAGGUUUUUCAAGAAGUUUGUCACUGACUUCACCAGGGCCAGCAUUCCCCACCUUGAGCCUAGAGGUGACCUAGUUUUGCUGGUUUACCCUGUGGCAGAAAGCCACCUUUGUUUCCCUCCCAAAAACUCAGCUCUGUGACAAUUUUAAUUAGGAUGGACCCAGCCGAGAGAGACAUCCUUACCUUAUCUCUUUAGGUAACCUGAGCUGGAUACAUUCCUGAGGGAGGGGGGAAACCUGCUCCCUCUGCCUAGGUGACUAGUAUCGCAUAGGGGGGUGAGGGGCUUCCCUCCUGGUGGGCUAGAGUCUGCCCGGCAACUAGUGAUGUAUUUCAAAUUGGUUGGCUGACAACCAACAGGUGCUGACCUCCAUUGGACCAGGUAAAUGAGGUCACAAGGGCUAUAUAAGUUAAAGACUGCCCGGGACGGGGGGAGGGGGGGCAGCAGCCAUGAGGGAUACUCGGGAACAAAGAAGAACUGUACUAUCUGAAACUGGCUCUCACUCUCAAAAUUCAUGAUCAAAGAACUGCUUGCCUCCAGAGGGACUCUCCACCUGCCUCUGGAUGAUACUUGUGAGUAAGCUACCUGAGAUCCACCUAGAUCUAUAGCUUGCAGUAACUCAGAUGCAAGAUCAAAAGCUACCCCAGCCACAGGAGUUUGCUCUAUGGGAUUUCUCUGAUAUUGCUCUACCCUGUACUCUAUUCUAACCCUACCCUCUGUAACCAAUAAAGUUCUCCUUUGGA